AGAGUUUGAUCCUGGCUCAGGACGAACGCUGGCGGCGUGCUUAACACAUGCAAGUCGAACGGAUUGCUUGGUGCUUGCGCUGAGUGGUUAGUGGCGAACGGGUGAGUAACACGUGAGUAACCUGCCCCCUUCUUUGGGAUAAGCACCUGAAAGGGUGUCUAAUACUGAUUAUUCUGCUGGAAUCGCAUGGUUUUGGUUGGAAAGGUUUUUCUGGUGGGGGAUGGGCUCGCGGCUUAUCAGCUUGUUGGUGGGGUAAUGGCUUACCAAGGCUUUGACGGGUAACCGGCCUGAGAGGGUGACCGGUCACAUUGGGACUGAGAUACGGCCCAGACUCCUACGGGAGGCAGCAGUGGGGAAUUUUGGACAAUGGGCGAAAGCCUGAUCCAGCAAUGCCGCGUGUAGGAUGAAGGCCCUCGGGUUGUAAACUACUUUUGUACGGAACGAAAAGACUCUUUCUAAUAAAGAGGGUCCAUGACGGUACCGUAAGAAUAAGCACCGGCUAACUACGUGCCAGCAAGCCGCGGUAAUA
rnacentral:rRNA from 1 species